AGACAUUAGGAGCAGGCAGUAUCUUUUCUUUUUCUUUUUCUUUCUUUCUUUUUUUUUUUUUUUGACAGGAUGGGCUGGGGUUGGGGGAGGAGGAAGCAAGAAUUAAGCAGAGAAGGCAAGCUCCUUUCUGUUCAUCUAACUCAAACUGACGAGUCAUUGAGCUGACUCCAAUCAGCAGGAUCCCCUGGUCGCCUGACUCAGGCCUCCCCAGUCAGAGGUAGAGUCUGCGGUGGACAGACAGACAGGUCUGGAGAGGCUGAUAUGGCCUUUAAGACUGUGAAAUAACAGAAAACCCCAAUGAAUCUAGUUUACUUCAGAGAGCUGUAAAGAUUUUACAGAGCAAUUUUCAUUAGUCUUUGCUUUUUCUCCAGACCCAAGUGACCACCUGGUAAUUACUUCAACAGCAGAGCGACUCAUACAGCCGGCAGUCCACUUUGUUCUUCUAUAGAUCCUGCCUGUGGUGUUGGAUCUAACAGCUUCUUCCCUGACCCAAGAUUAUGAAGGAUUUCUCCUGUGUUCUCUUCUAAAAAUUUUACAUUUAGGUACAUAAUCCAUUUUGAGCUAAUUCUUUUAAAUAGUGCAAAGUAUGGAUUGAAGUUCUUUUUUUUUUUUUUUUUUGCAGAUACAUAUUUAAUUUUUCCAGCACCAUUUGUUGAAAAGACUAAUGUUCUUGCCUGAAUAGCCUUUGCAUUGUUGUUGAAAAUCAUGUUCACACAUGUACACAUUCCACUGAUCUAUUUGCCUCUUUGUGAAAAUACUACUAUUUUGAUUAAUAUAUAUUUAUAGGGAGUCUUAAAAUCAUAUCUUAAAAAGAUAGUGGAAGUUAUUUAACCUUACUCUUGCUUUUAGAAAUUGUUUUGGAUAUUCUAGAUCUUUUGUGUUUCCAUAUAAAUUUUAUAAUCAGUUUGGCAAUUUAUUUAAAAUAUUCUUCUGGGAUUUUGAUGGACAUUACACUGAAUCGAUGGAUCGCUUUGGGGACAACUGACAUCUUAACAAUAUUGAGUCAUCUAACAUAUGAUCAUGGAAAUUGCUCCAUUUAUUUAGAUCUUCUUUCACAUCUUGAAGCAGUGUUUUGCGUUUUCAGUGUAUAGGUAUUUAAUAGAUUUAAAAAUAUGAUCCCUAAAUAUUCAAUGUUUUUGAUGCUAUUGGAAUUUUAAAAAAUUAAUUUCUGUUCUGAGGAAGGAAAAUAAUAAAAGAUUAAAC
rnacentral:lncRNA from 10 species